CUCUACUCUACUUACAAACACCGAUCCGAAGUCUCCUGAAGAUUCCAUCCAACUCCUUUUACGACACGUCCACGUCGUGCAGGGUGGUUACAUGGGCCAAAGUCCAGCCAUUCGGCUGGAUGAAGGCUCAUGGCUAAGAAGGAGGGG
rnacentral:ribozyme from 1 species